rnacentral:rRNA from 1 species
AGAGUUUGAUCCUGGCUCCGAGUGAAUGCUGGUGGUAUGCUUUACACAUGCAAGUUGAACGCUAGAAAUGGAGUAGCAAAAAGGUGAGUAAAAUAUAAGAAUUUUAAUAUUAAUUUUGAACAUGCAAUGAGACAUUAAAAUUCAAAAUACUAAAAAAGAGAAGUCAGAAAUGAAAAGCUCGUUAAUAUAAAAGCUUAUAUCGAAUUAGGUAGUUGGAAGGGUAAAGGCCUAACAAGCCGAUGAUUCGUAGUUGGUCUGGGAGGAUGAUCAGCCACAUUGGAAUUGAAAUAUAGUCCAACUCAAAAUGGGCAGCAGUGGGGAAUAUUGGACAAUGAGCGCAAGCUUGAUCCAGCAAUAUCACGUGAGGGAUGAAAUAGAAUGUAAACCUCUUUUAUUAAAGAAGAUAAUGACAAGAAUUAAAGAAGAAGCCCCGGCUAACUUCGUGCCAGCAGCCGCGGUAAUACGGAGGGGGCAAGCAUUAUUCGUAAGGACUGGGCGUAAAGGGUAUGUAGGCAGUUCGAUAAAUUAAAGGCCUUAUGUAAAAAACAGACUGAAAAAGGCUGAAGGCAUAAGCAACAAUCGAACUAGAGUAGAAAAGAUGAAUUUAGUAUAUCUAAUGGAGAGAUAAAAUUCGUAUAAAUUAUAUAGACUUUCAGUUGGCGCAAGCAAAAUUCAAUAAACUACUGACGCUGAGGUACGAAGGCAUAGGGAGCAAACAGGAUUAGAGACCCUGGUAGUCUAUGCAGUAAACGAUGAGUGUUCAAUAUUUAUAAAAUAUUCAAGCAAACGCGUUAAACACUCCGCCUGAGAAGUACGAUCGCAAGAUUAAAACUCAAAGGAAUUGACUGAGAUUUGCGCAAGCAGUGGAGCAUGUAGUUUAAUUCGAUAUAACACGAAAAAUCUUACCAAUUUUUGAAUUAUGUAUAUUAACAAUGGUAGAAUGAAAAGCUACAUAAAAAUAAGCAUAAAACAGGAGCUGCAUGGCUGUCGUCAGUUCGUGCUGUUAGGUGUUAGGUUAAUUCCUUUAGCGAACGUAAUCCUUAUAUUUAGUUACGAAAAGUCUAAAUAGUUGAAAAUAACAAGUUUUAUUUGGAAGUUGGGGAUGAUGUCAAGUCGGUAUGGCCUUUAUAAAUUGGGCUACAUAUGUGCUACAAUGAUUAGAACAAAAGGGAGCGAAAGUGUGAGCUGGAGCAAAUCCUAAAAACUAAUUUUAGUAUGAAUUGAUUUCUGAAACUCGAAAUCAUGAAAGUGGAAUUGCUAGUAAUCGUAGAUUAGUAUGCUUCGGUGAAUUGGUGCCAAAUCUAGUACAGACCGCCUGUCAGACGGUGGAAAUUCUGUUUUUUGUAAAUUAUCUUGAGGGUGUAUAUUGUAAUUUAAUAUGGAUAUUGUAAAUAUUGGUUUACUUAAAUAUUAAAGGUAUGGUAUAAAACGUUAGAGCAA